UACGAGGAGAGCAAGCGUUAUCCGGAUUUAUUGGGCGUAAAGCGUGCGCAAGCGGUUUUAUAAGUGAGAUGUUAAAUACCAAGGCUCAACCUUGGAAUCGCACCUCAUACUGUAAGACUAGAGUCAAUGAGAGGCAAACGGAAUUGCUGGUGUAGUAGUGAAAUGCGUAGAUAUUGGGAAGAACACCUGAGGCGAAGGCGGGUUGCUGGGCUGACACUGACGCUGAGGCGCGAAAGCCAGGGGAGCAAACGGG
rnacentral:rRNA from 1 species